CUGCAAACCUCCAGUGCAUCUGGGUCUGGAGCGACCGUGCGCAUUCCUACAGUGCUUGCACGAACAGUUUUGAAACAGCUUGGGGCCUUGCUCUGCACCAUCUCCAGAGUGAGGUUAUAGAAAUUCCACACAAAU